rnacentral:rRNA from 1 species
AGUUUGAUCCUGGCUCAGAUUGAACGCUGGCGGCAUGCCUUACACAUGCAAGUCGAACGGCAGCACGGGAGCUUGCUCCUGGUGGCGAGUGGCGAACGGGUGAGUAAUGCAUCGGAACGUAUCCUGGAGUGGGGGAUAACGUAGCGAAAGUUACGCUAAUACCGCAUAUUCUGUGAGCAGGAAAGCGGGGGACCUUCGGGCCUCGCGCUCUUGGAGCGGCCGAUGUCGGAUUAGCUAGUUGGUGAGGUAAAGGCUCACCAAGGCGACGAUCCGUAGCAGGUCUGAGAGGAUGAUCUGCCACACUGGAACUGAGACACGGUCCAGACUCCUACGGGAGGCAGCAGUGGGAAUUUUGGACAAUGGGGGCAACCCUGAUCCAGCCAUGCCGCGUGAGUGAAGAAGGCC